GACGAACGCUGGCGGCGUGCCUAAUACAUGCAAGUAGAACGCUGAAGAGAGGAGCUUGCUCUUCUUGGAUGAGUUGCGAACGGGUGAGUAACGCGUAGGUAACCUGCCUUGUAGCGGGGGAUAACUAUUGGAAACGAUAGCUAAUACCGCAUAACAAUGGAUGACACAUGUCAUUUAUUUGAAAGGGGCAAUUGCUCCACUACAAGAUGGACCUGCGUUGUAUUAGCUAGUAGGUGAGGUAAUGGCUCACCUAGGCGACGAUACAUAGCCGACCUGAGAGGGUGAUCGGCCACACUGAGACGGAGACACGGCCCAGACUCCUACGGGAGGCAGCAGUAGGGAAUCUUCGGCAAUGGGGGCAACCCUGACCGAGCAACGCCGCGUGAGUGAAGAAGGUUUUCGGAUCGUAAAGCUCUGUUGUAAGUCAAGAACGGGUGUGAGAGUGGAAAGUUCACACUGUGACGGUAGCUUACCAGAAAGGGACGGCUAACUACGUG
rnacentral:rRNA from 1 species